GCCCUCACCUGCCGCAGGCCCAGGGCCCCGGGGACCAGGAGCGGGGCGUCGGGGGGUCCUGGACCCUCGGCCCAAGGAACCACUGUCUGGUGUGGAGACAGACACUUAGGAGGAAAUUUGAUUACCAGUGGGAUAAGCGACCAACCCAGAGAAGAACAGAGACUGCAGGGGUCCAGGAGGAGGGGCCGCAGAGGCCCCAGGGAUAGGGGUAAGGGUGGGGACUGAGAUGGAGAAUUGCUUCCUGAGAAGGUAAUGAAUGUAUGAAGGUGAUCUGGAAGGACAAUCUAUGAAUUGGACAAGUGAAGAAGGAAGAGGAGACAUUAUAAGAAGUGGGACCAACAUAGACCGAGCCUGGCAGUGACACAGCAAGAAGGUGGCUGUGUACAAGCUAGGAAGAGGGCCCUCAGCAGAACCAUCCUGGCUGACCAUGCAGGCACUCCGAUCUUGGACUCCCAGCCUCCAGAACU